AUUGAACGCUGGCGGCAUGCCUUACACAUGCAAGUCGAACGGCAGCACGGGUGCUUGCACCUGGUGGCGAGUGGCGAACGGGUGAGUAAUACAUCGGAACGUACCUUAUCGUGGGGGAUAACGCAGCGAAAGCUGUGCUAAUACCGCAUACGCCCUGAGGGGGAAAGCGGGGGAUCGAGAGACCUCGCGCGAUUAGAGCGGCCGAUGCCUGAUUAGCUUGUUGGUGGGGUAAAAGCCCACCAAGGCGACGAUCAGUAGCUGGUCUGAGAGGACGAUCAGCCACACUGGGACUGAGACACGGCCCAGACUCCUACGGGAGGCAGAAGUGGGGAAUUUUGGACAAUGGGGGCAACCCCGAUCCAGCAAUGCCGCGUGAGUGAAGAAGGCCUUUGGGUUGUAAAGCUCUUUUGUCAGGGAAGAAACACCGGCUCUAACACAGUCCGGGAAUGACGGUACCUGAAGAAUAAGCACCGGCUAACUACGUGCCAGCCGCCGCAGUAA
rnacentral:rRNA from 1 species